AUGGGGAUAAAAAGCGGGAGGAGCAAGCAGGGGGAAACAGUGGAGACAGAUCCACGACACGCGCAAGUCUGCGGAUCGGGAGGGAAACCUGUGAUUAUGUCCGCAAACGGAUCAAACAACGACGUGGAUCAGAGAGGCCCGGCCGGGUUGUCGGACGGGGAAACCUUCAGGUCUCACGCCGACGCCGAUGUAGACAACGGUGAAUCCACGCAAGUGGACUACGACGGUACAGACCGGUGUGAGAAGAACAUCACAAACUCUGCCGACCCUCCGGAGCAGAGUAACGCCGUCCGUGAAAGAGCGCAGCGAGGGGGGGAAAUAAUAAUAAGACAACCAAGUUAUUGUUGUCGACGUACAUCAGAAAGAGAAGAAAUGCGGAAAGAGAUUAAAAGUGAAGAGGACAUCGUGACUAUACCGAGCCGGGUCACCGCUGUAGACAAUCCGUCAAAGGAGGAGCAAGAGAGAGUUGUAGCAUCCCGAGCUCUCCGUCCUAUCAUACGCAAUCCUCGUGGGCUGCAGGUCAUGAGACUCCAAGCAGGAAGAGGAGCCCAGCAACGAAGGAAUUUCCAUAAGAGGGAGGUCCUGCGAAUGCUCUCCAGCAUGUACUCCACAACCCUUUUGGCCUAUGUAUCAAUAGCAAAAAGCAGUAAUUUGUAA
rnacentral:lncRNA from 1 species